AAUCGACGACUCAGCUGCUCCAUAAGUUCCCACACGAAUUGCUUGAUUCAUUGAAGAAGACGAUAUAGAAGCAGCCUAAAUGGUUGUGGCUUGGUUGGUUAGAGCGCACCCCAUGCUCUGUGGUAAAGAGCAGGGUGAGGUCGGCCUUGUAGCUCGAAAUUGGGUCUGUAGCUCAGUUGGUUAGAGCGCACCCCUGAUAAGGGUGAGGUCGGCAGUUCGAAUCUGCCCAGACCCACCAAUUUUGUGUGGGAAACGCCUGUAGAAAUACGGGGCCAUAGCUCAGCUGGGAGAGCGCCUGCCUUGCACGCAGGAGGUCAACGGUUCGAUCCCGUUUGGCUCCACCACUACUGCUUCUGAUUGUAUAAAGCUUAGAAAUGAGCAUUCCAUCGGUUCGAUGGUGAAUGUUGAUUUCUAGUCUUUGACUAGUUCGUUCUUUAAAAAUUUGGGUAUGUGAUAGAAAGAUAGACUGAACGUUACUUUCACUGGUAACGGAUCAGGCUAAGGUAAAAUUUGUGAGUUGCUCUUAGGAGCUCAAUCGAAUUUUCGGCGAAUGUCGUCUUCAUAGUAUAACCAGAUUGCUUGGGGUUAUAU
rnacentral:tRNA from 1 species